rnacentral:ncRNA from 2 species
AAUACCAGUUCUUGUGAAGGUGCCCUCACGGGUGAAACGGGAAACAGGUGCGCUCUUUGUUAAGCAACCCCUGUACUGCCCCCGCAACGGUAAAUAAGUGAUGUAUUUUUCUCGCUUCCACUGUCCAUUGAUAGAAAUAUCUUUGAAUGGGAAGGGACGAGAGUUUUAGAAAUGCAGAUCUGCCAAACACUUAUCAGUCCGGAGACCGGCCUUCAUUGAUUAGGACUU